AUCGUUUAGGUAGUAGUGAGUGACGACAAACACAGGUGUAUGAAAAACGUCAAACGCGAUGAGUCGUAAAUUUUAUGUUCUCGGCCAGAAGUUUAUUAUCAAAGUUUAAAGAAAUUCGACAGUUAAAUAAUUAUUUUCUAACUUGAAUUACAAUCUCAUAGGGAUUUGCCACAGUGAAUUGUACCCUCGGCAGCGUUAUCAUUACCACCUGAUUUGACACUUGCUUCCCCUCAGGUAUCGAUAUUAGCAAAAACCCGUAAGUGAACUAGUUAUUUCUAAUUGGAAGCUUAUUACCCAUUGAUUACUUUCCCUUUAGAUUUGAAUCGUCACACUCCGCAAUUGUUAGCUAUAACUCAGUCAGGUCACGGUAGAACACUAAAACUCUUAAAGCGACAAACCACCCACAACCCGUGUUUUGCUAAAAAGACUUGGUGUUUCUACGAACAAAAUCUUUAAGAGUUUUAUUGCCAAGAUGCUGGCAGGAAAUAUCUCCGGCUACAAUUGCCAUUCGUGUAAUGAACAUGACGUCAUGGAUUCGAUGGUGGCUUGUGAUGCUUGCAGCAAAUGGCAUCAUUUCAAGUGCGCUGGAGUGGAUCAUACUAUCAAGGAUCGACGCUGGGUGUGCAAAGAAUGUGAAACAGGUAAUGGUUGUGGUCAGCUUGCCCUUCCACCGACGAAAAACAGAACCGCCAAGGUAGGUGGUAGCAAAACGUCGAAGUCCCGCAGCAAAAAGGCAGAAAAGACCGUCGGCUCAAAGGUGAGCAUGACCUCCAGUGCUCGCGCUGCUGCCUUGGAAGCGCAGAUGCGCUUACUCGAGGAAGAAGAACAGCUAAACGAAGCGGAGCUGAAAGAGAGAGAAGAGCUUCAGCGUCAGGAGUUUGCUGAGGAGCAACGCAAGCUCGAGAUUAAGAAAAAGCUUAUGGAAGAAGAAACACAGCUUCGCGAAACGGAGCUGAUGAAGCAGAAGGCUUUGCAGGAAAGGAUGAUGCAGUUACGACGAGAAUCUAUGGAAAAGAAGAAGGAGUUAAUGCGACAGCAAGCGGAGCUUAGCGAGUCGUCGUCUUCAUCCCGUAUAUCAAAGUCUGAACGAAUUCAAAAUUGGAUUACUUCGCAGCAACAGACAGAGGGAGACAAUUUGGUAAAUAAUGCCUCACGGAACUUCACGUCGAAUGCUCAGCUCACGUAUCCGAUUCAACAGCAAGGAAGACCGGCGGUAGCACCCAGCCCUCCUACGUCUCAGCUGGCGAACCUUUCGUUACAUGAUGACCACCACGUCACUAGUCCCGUAUUACCAGCGGCUUAUAUGCAAAUUGCAGCACGCCAGGUUACGGGCAAGGAUCUUCCGGCCUUUAACGGGAACCCGGAGGACUGGCCAAUGUUUAUUCGGACCUACGAGGAAACGACGAUCGCCUGUGGAUUUACGGAUGUGGAGAAUUUAGUGCGGCUCCAAAAAUGUCUGCGAGGAAUUGCUUUGGAAUCUGUGCGCAGUCGACUUAUGAUGCCGGCCGGCGUCCCGCACGUAAUAAAAACUCUCCAAAUGCGCUUCGGUCGACCGGAGCUUAUAAUCCGUUCAUUACUGGAGCGAAUCCGUCGCGUACCAGCGCCUAAACCUGAACGACUGGACACUCUCAUUGAUUUCGGACUAGCUGUGGAGAAUCUAGUGGUUCAUUUGCAAGCCGCUAAGCAGGAAAAUCAUCUGACAAAUCCUGUUUUAUUGCAAGAACUGGUGACGAAGUUGCCGGCACAGCUCAGAUUGGAUUGGGCAAGAUACAAAGUCCUUCACCAAAAUCCAACCCUAGCAGCGUUCGGUGAAUUUAUGAACGAACUCAUUCACGCGGCCAGUGAAGUAUCUUUCGAUCUACCUAUCAACCUAACGUCGAGCACGGAGAAGCCAAGGGACCGAGAAAGAGCUUUCGUCCAUGCCCAUGAUGCUGUGGAUUCAGAAUUCCGGAACACCGGUGCUGUGAAGAAACCGCCUAAACCAUGCAUAUUGUGUGGUACCCUACGACACCGUAUUGCCGAUUGUGAGGAAUUCAAGCAAAAAUGUGUCGAUGAGCGGCUGAAGAUAGUGCGGCAACACAAUCUAUGCCGCACUUGUUUGAACUUUCAUCAAAAGUGGCCGUGUCGAACAUGGAGUGGCUGCAGUAUCGAAGGAUGUCGUGAACGGCAUCACUAUUUGUUGCAUCCUCCGAUGGUUACGAGUUCCACACACCACUCAUCCACUCACAAUUCAGUCUUCAGUGAGAGGUGUGACUAUUACUCAUAUUUCCGUAUAAUCCCGGUAAUCGUAUCCACAGCCACCAAGCGCCAAACGAUAUUCGCAUUUAUCGACGAGGGCUCAUCUUCCACCCUCUUGGACCAGUCGGUGGCGAAGCAGUUGGGAUUGGAUGGACCAGUUGAGCCCUUAACGCUACAGUGGACCGGCAACGUCGCGCGUCGAGAGUCAAACUCCAGAAAGGUGCAUUUCCACAUCGCAGGAUCUGAGAAAGCUAGUACGUUUCAGAUACAAGAUGCCCACACCGUCGAAAGACUUCUACUUCCGAAGCAAUCACUCCCGUAUAGGGCGCUAGCUAAACAGUAUCCACAUUUACGCGGGCUACCCGUGGCUGACUAUGAGCAAGCAGAACCAAAAAUUCUUAUCGGACUUGACAAUUUGAGAUUGUGUGUUCCGCUUAAGAUACGUGAAGGACGCUCUGACGAGCCCAUCGCCGCAAAGUGCAGGUUGGGUUGGACUAUUUACGGAUACAGUGUCCGUGCUUCAUCACCUACGGUCUCGGUCAAUUUCCACGUACCAGCUGCCCAAGACGCGGACCAUGAUCUAAACGAAAAACUUAACGACUUCUUCUCGCUGGACCGUAUGGGAACUGAGCCAUCCUUCAAUUUUCCGGAGUCGGAGGCAGACAAAAGAGCCAAAAGGAUAUUGGAAGAAACGACCCGCAGAUUGUCUGACCGAUUUGAAACUGGACUACUUUGGAAAGCCGACGGUAUCGAGUUUCCUGACAGUUUCCCGAUGGCGGUAAAAAGGCUUGAGUCACUGGAAAGGAAAUUAACCAGGGAUUCUUCUCUUCGAUUUCGAGUUCACCAAAAAAUGGACGAAUACGUGGCUAAAGGAUACUGUCAUCGUGCUACCUCCGAAGAGCUGAACUCCUUUGACGUUAAACGAGUGUGGUAUCUCCCAUUGUGCAUCGUCGUUAACCCGAAAAAGCCGGAAAAGGUGCGAAUUGUCUGGGAUGCGGCGGCUAAAGUCAAUAAUGUCUGCUUUAAUUCGGCUUUGCUUAAGGGACCAGACCUUCUAACUAACCUGGUCUUCGUCCUGUACCACUUUCGCGAACACCGAAUAGCCGUGACUGGGGACAUAGAAGAAAUGUUUUUGCGGCUCCUCAUCCGACCGCAGGACAGUCCAUCUCAACGAUUCUUAUGGCGGGAUGAUCCAGAAAAAGCUCCCUCCAUAUACAUAAUUGACGUUGCGACCUUUGGGUCAACUUGCUCUCCAUGUUCGGCCCAAUUUGUGAAGAACACCAAUGCAAGUGAUUAUAUGGAGUCGUUCCCCAGAGCCGCUACUGCGAUUAUUAAACAUCACUAUGUAGAUGAUUAUUUAGAUAGUUUUGAGACAGAAGAAGAAGCUAUCGAGGUAGUCAAACAAGUGAAGUUCAUCCAUUCGACAGGGGGUUUCAACUUGCGUAACUUUUUGUCCAACUCCCACGCCGUUUUGAAGGCUAUUGAUGAUGUCUCCGAAGAAGAUGCAAAGCAACUGUGUUUGUUAAGAGCCGAAAAGGUAGAAUCUGUAUUGGGCAUGAAAUGGAACCCGUCUAGAGAUGUUUUCAUCUACACUUUGUCCCCUCGGGAAGGUCUCGACAAGGUCAUAGAACCCUCGCAUAUUCCCACCAAACGAGAAAUGCUAAAACUCGUCAUGAGUCUUUUUGAUCCUCUUGGAUUUGUGACGUUCUAUCUCAUCCACGGAAGAACUUUGAUCCAAGACGUCUGGGCGACUGGCAUCGAUUGGGACGAACCGGUGAACAAGGAGCUGUGCCAAAGAUGGUGGCACUGGAUUAGCUUUUUACCCAUGCUGGGUGACCUGAAAAUUCCGCGAUGCUAUUUUCGAGGUCAUAUGGACGAACUUAAACAAUUACAUGUUUUUGUAGACGCCAGUGACACAGCAUACGCCUCUGUUGCAUAUCUCCGCGCCUACGGAACAUUAGGAAUGGAAGUGGGACUCGUGGGAGCGAAAAGCAAAGUUGCACCACUCAAGGUACUAUCUGUCCCUCGCUUAGAGCUGAUGGCGGCGGUAAUAGGUGCGCGUUUUGCGGAUGCAGUGCUCGCGGCUCAUUCCUUUAAUGUGACGGAAACCAUCUUUUGGACGGAUUCGGCUACGGUGCUUGCCUGGAUUAAUUCGGAUCACAGGAGGUAUCAUAAGUUCGUAGGAGUCAGAGUCGGAGAAAUACUUGCGUUGACGAAAAUGAACCAAUGGAGAUGGGUGCCUACCAAGCAUAAUCCAGCAGACGAGGCGACGAAGUGGGGUAGCGGUCCAACUUUUGAUCCUAGCGGACGUUGGUUUAGCGGGCCAUCGUUCCUUUACCAGCCUGAAGAACAGUGGCCACAAAAACAAAAGCCACUUGUCACCAGUACCGAGCUCCUCAGUUCUCACAACUCACACCAAAUUGCCCCCGAUCCACUGUUUGAAACUGAACGCUUCCACAAAUGGGAGCGAUUGCUAAGAGCACAGGCGUACGUAUGCAGAUUCAUCAACAAUGUUCUUUGUCGCAGGAACGGAAAACCAACGGAAACAGGAAUCCUCAGCCGAGACGAGCUGAUCCGAGCCGAACGAGAAUUGUGGAAGCAAGUUCAAGCUGAAGCAUACGCCCAGGAACGACGAAUACUGCUUGACACUCAGGGUACUCCUGACUCACGCCACAACUUAGUACCGAAAUCGAGUCCCAUUUACAAGUUGUGGCCAUACAUGGACUUAGACGGCGUAAUCAGGAUGCGAGGAAGAAUAGAUGCCUCAUGGUAUGCAACUCAUGAUGCCAAGAAUCCGAUCAUAUUACCGAAAUCUCAUCAAAUAACCUUGCUUCUGGUGGAUUCGUAUCACCGUCGGUAUCAUCAUGCCAACCAGGAAACGGUGGUAAAUGAACUGCGGCAGCGCUUCGAAAUAUCCAACUUGCGAACUAUCAUUAAACAGACAGCCCGAAGAUGUAUCAAAUGCCGCAUUGCACACGCAGUUCCUCGGACUCCACCAAUGGCUCCGCUCCCAGAACAACGUGUCACACCUUUUGUAAAGCCUUUUACAUUUGUCGGUCUGGAUUAUUUCGGACCCUUAACGGUAAAGGUCGGCCGCUCUGAAGUUAAACGAUGGGUGGCACUCUUUACGUGCCUUACCGUUCGUGCCGUACACCUUGAAGUAGUGCAUAGUUUAUCCAGCGAGUCAUGUAUUCUAGCCAUUCGUCGAUUUAUCGCCCGACGCGGAGCACCAUCUGAGUUCUUUAGCGAUAAUGGGACUAAUUUUGUAGGGGCGAACUCACAGUUGCAACAGGAAAUUGUGGCUAGGAACACUGAAUUAGCCAUUACCUUUACCAACACCAAUACACGUUGGAACUUUAACCCACCGGGCGCUCCACACAUGGGUGGAGCGUGGGAGCGCUUGGUGCGCUCAGUAAAAAAUGCCAUUGGUACCAUCAUCGACGCUCCUCGUCGACCUACUGACGAAGUUCUCGAAACGGUCUUACUAGAUGCCGAAGCAAUGAUAAAUUCACGGCCUCUAACUUAUAUUCCACUGGAGACCGCCGACGAAGAAUCAUUGACACCGAAUCACUUUUUGUUGGGUAGUUCUUCCGGUGCAAAGCAACCACGCUCGGAGAUCAAAAGCGAUCGUGUCAGUCUGCGGGGUUACUGGAAUCUGUCUCAACACUUGACAGAUCUUAUAUGGAAAAGAUGGAUCAAAGAGUAUCUGCCAGUAAUCACUCGACGAUGCCGGUGGUUCGAAGAAGUUCGUGAUGUCCAAGAAGGCGAUUUAGUGCUGAUAGUUGGGGCAGAGGCGCGGAAUCACUAUGUGCGAGGACGAAUAGAAAAGGUAUUUCCGGGACGAGACGGGCGCAUACGCCAAGCUCUGGUGCGCACAGCUAACGGAAUCUACAAGAGACCGGUCGUGAAACUCGCGUUGCUUGACGUCGCAUCACAUGGUAAACCUGGUCCAACCUCGUUGGAGCCACCAUCGGCACACCAGCCUUUACGGGUGGGGGGAUGUUGCGACGCACAUCAAGCCCCUCAUCCCACCAGAUCGCCGUAGUUACAACAGAGCAUCUACAUCGUUUAGGUAGUAGUGAGUGACGACAAACACAGGUGUAUGAAAAACGUCAAACGCGAUGAGUCGUAAAUUUUAUGUUCUCGGCCAGAAGUUUAUUAUCAAAGUUUAAAGAAAUUCGACAGUUAAAUAAUUAUUUUCUAACUUGAAUUACAAUCUCAUAGGGAUUUGCCACAGUGAAUUGUACCCUCGGCAGCGUUAUCAUUACCACCUGAUUUGACACUUGCUUCCCCUCAGGUAUCGAUAUUAGCAAAAACCCGUAAGUGAACUAGUUAUUUCUAAUUGGAAGCUUAUUACCCAUUGAUUACUUUCCCUUUAGAUUUGAAUCGUCACACUCCGCAAUUGUUAGCUAUAACUCAGUCAGGUCACGGUAGAACACUAAAACUGUAAGUUAACAAUUUUUCCAUGAAUUCAGUUUAAUGAAAUAUAACCAUUUCAGCUUAAAGCGACAAACCACCCAC